rnacentral:lncRNA from 1 species
UUCUGCAAUUUCCGAAAAACUGCAAAUUCCGGCGAGGUACAGUAUUUCCGGUCGUCUUCUCCAGCGGAACUCCGGUGAACAGUGUCGUCUUUUCCGGCGAUACUCCGGCGAACAGUGUCGUCUUCUCCGCCAAUACUCCGGCGAACAAUGUCGUCUUCUCCGGCGAAGAGUGUCGUCUUCUCCGGCGAUACUCCGGCGAAGAGUGUCGUCUUCUCCGGCGAACCUCCGGCAAAGUUGACCAAACUUUGACCGCGAUUUCUGGGC